rnacentral:rRNA from 1 species
UGGGGAAUAUUGCACAAUGGGCGCAAGCCUGAUGCAGCCAUGCCGCGUGUAUGAAGAAGGCCUUCGGGUUGUAAAGUACUUUCAGCGGGGAGGAAGGGAGUAAAGUUAAUACCUUUGCUCAUUGACGUUACCCGCAGAAGAAGCACCGGCUAACUCCGUGCCAGCAGCCGCGGUAAUACGGAGGGUGCAAGCGUUAAUCGGAAUUACUGGGCGUAAAGCGCACGCAGGCGGUUUGUUAAGUCAGAUGUGAAAUCCCCGGGCUCAACCUAGGAACUGCAUCUGAUACUGGCAAGCUUGAGUCUCGUAGAGGGAGGUAGAAUUCCAGGUGUAGCGGUGAAAUGCGUAGAGAUCUGGGGGAAUACCGGUGGCGAAGGCGGCCCCCUGGACGAAGACUGACGCUCAGGUGCGAAAGCGUGGGGAGCAAACAGG